GGCUGUGUUUCGCGCAGCUGGCACAAACCGUGACGAGAGCCCUGCGGCAAGGCACAAGUGGCCUUCUCCUCUGCCAGGGUAAAGUUUGUUUGACUCAGACCCCAGUAAGGUCCAGAAAUUGAAACUGGGACAUGCAAGUCAAAACCACUGUGAUACCUUCACAUCCACUUGGAUGGCCAUAAUGAAUUUUUUUAAUGGAAAAUAACAAGUGUUGGGAGUUCCCUGGUGGUGCAGUGGUUAAGAAUCCGCCUGCCAAUGCAGGGGACAUGGGUUCAAUCCCUGGACCAGGAAGAUCCCACAUGCCAUGGAGACACUAAGCCCGUGCACCACAACUACUGAGCCCACGUGCUGCAACUACUGAAGCCCAUGCGCCUACAGUCCGUGCUCUGCAACAAGAGAAGCCACUGCAAUGAGAAGCCUGCACACCACAACCAAGAGUAGUCCCUGCUCACUUCAACUAGAGAAAGCCCAUGCGCA